rnacentral:rRNA from 1 species
UACGUAGGGGGCGAGCGUUGUCCGGAGUUACUGGGCGUAAAGGGCAUGCAGGCGGUCGGACGCGUUUCGGGUGACAGCGGGUGGCUUAACUACCCGAGUGGUCGAAAGACGGUUUGACUUGAGGACGCGAGAGGGACACGGAAUUCCGGGUGGAGUGGUGAAAUGCGUAGAUAUCUGGAGGAACACCGGUGGCGAAGGCGGCAUCCUGGACCGACACUGACGCUGAGGAGCGAAAGCCAGGGGAGCAAACGGG